AGUGAACGCUGGCGGUAGGCCUAACACAUGCAAGUCGAACGGCAGCACAGUAAGAGCUUGCUCUUACGGGUGGCGAGUGGCGGACGGGUGCGGAAUACAUCGGAAUCUACUUUUUCGUGGGGGAUAACGUAGGGAAACUUACGCUAAUACCGCAUACGACCUACGGGUGAAAGCAGGGGAUCUUCGGACCUUGCGCGAUUGAAUGAGCCGAUGUCGGAUUAGCUAGUUGGCGGGGUAAAGGCCCACCAAGGCGACGAUCCGUAGCUGGUCUGAGAGGAUGAUCAGCCACACUGGAACUGAGACACGGUCCAGACUCCUACGGGAGGCAGCAGUGGGGAAUAUUGGACAAUGGGCGCAAGCCUGAUCCAGCCAUACCGCGUGAGUGAAGAAGGCCUUCGGGUUGUAAAGCCCCUUUGUUGGGAAAGAAAAGCAGCAGGUUAAUACCCCGCUGUUCUGACGGUACCCAAAGAAUAAGCACCGGCUAACUUCGUG
rnacentral:rRNA from 1 species